GAUGAACGCUGGCGGCGUGCCUAAUACAUGCCAGUCGAGCGAACAGACGAGGAGCUUGCUCCUUUGACGUUAGCGGCGGACGGGUGAGUAACACGUGGAUAACCUACCUAUAAGACUGGGAUAACUUCGGGAAACCGGAGCUAAUACCGGAUAACAUGUUGAACCGCAUGGUUCAACAGUGAAAGACGGUCUUGCUGUCACUUAUAGAUGGAUCCGCGCCGCAUUAGCUAGUUGGUAAGGUAACGGCUUACCAAGGCAACGAUGCGUAGCCGACCUGAGAGGGUGAUCGGCCACACUGGAACUGAGACACGGUCCAGACUCCUACGGGAGGCAGCAGUAGGGAAUCUUCCGCAAUGGGCGAAAGCCUGACGGAGCAACGCCGCGUGAGUGAAGAAGGUCUUCGGAUCGUAAAACUCUGUUAUUAGGGAAGAACAAAUGUGUAAGUAACUAUGCACGUCUUGACGGCACCUAAUCAGAAAGCCACGGCUAACUACGUG
rnacentral:rRNA from 1 species